rnacentral:rRNA from 1 species
AGCAGCAGCCGCGGGAAUACGGAGGAUCCAAGCGUUAUCCGGAAUCAUUGGGUUUAAAGGGUCCGUAGGCGGUCUUGUAAGUCAGUGGUGAAAGCCCAUCGCUCAACGGUGGAACGGCCAUUGAUACUGCAGGACUUGAAUUAUUGGGAAGUAACUAGAAUAUGUAGUGUAGCGGUGAAAUGCUUAGAGAUUACAUGGAAUACCAAUUGCGAAGGCAGGUUACUACCAAUUGAUUGACGCUGAUGGACGAAAGCGUGGGUAGCGAACAGGAUUAGAUACCCCUGUAGUCCCUGUCUCUUAUAC